ACUCCUACGGGAGGCAGCAGUGGGGAAUAUUGCGCAAUGGGGGAAACCCUGACGCAGCGACGCCGCGUGAGUGAAGAAGGCCUUCGGGUUGUAAAGCUCUGUUUUAAGGGACGAAAGGUACGGGUAGUAACUGACCUGUAAGUGACGGUACCUUAAGAGGAAGCCCCGGCUAACUACGUGCCAGCAGCCGCGGUAAGACGUAGGGGGCGAGCGUUGUCCGGAAUUACUGGGCGUAAAGAGCACGUAGGCGGGGACUUAAGUCAGAUGUGAAAGCCCGGGGCUCAACCUCGGAACUGCAUUGGAAACUGGUAGACUUGAGUAUGUGAGGGGUCAGUGGAAUUCCUGGUGUAGGGGUGAAAUCCGUAGAGAUCAGGAGGAACACCGGUGGCGAAGGCGACUGACUGGAACAUAACUGACGCUGAGGCGCGAAAGCGUGGGUAGCAAACAGGAUUAGAUACCCUGGUAGUC
rnacentral:rRNA from 1 species